UUUCCACUUCACAAUAACAGCACUUACAGUAGACUGGGCUACGUUAAAAGUCACUGAGCGCUUCAAUAAGGUCAUUCUACUUUUGCCUAUGGAGAUGGCAUGGAUGUGUGCUCGAUUUAUAUACCUGUCAGUAACCGGUGUGGCUGAAAUAGCCGAAUCCACUAUUUUGAAGGUGUGUCCACAUACAUUUGUAUAUAUAGUGUAAAUCUGCUUGUAAAUCAGAGACAAUGUUUGAAUAUUGCUGUCCAUUAAUGACUCCCAGCCAAAUUUACUGAGCUUGAGCAAUUUUUACAAUGGAUAUGCAGGUAACUGCCAAAAUAAAUGAAUCACCAACAUAAAGCAUCUUAAUAGAGCAUUGGGCAACCACGAGCCGCCAGAACAGCUUCAACGCGUCUUAGUAGUGUCUUAGUAUCUGGAACUCUAUUAGAGGGAUGUGACACCAUUCUUCAACAAUAAAUAAUGAUAAUAUAUUUUUGACUUCAUGUAAUAUCUUAUGUUGUUCUUGUCUAUAACUGUUCUGUACUUUGCCAUGUACUUGUAUGUCUUAUGUGGAUCCCAGGAAGAGUAGCUGCUGCAUGUGCAGAAGCUAAUGGGAUCCUAAUAAACUAAACUCUCAGGUGAGACCAUGGUCAGUAUAUUACCUACCUCCUCUCUCUCAGGUGAGACCAUGCACAAUAUAUUACCUACCUCCUCUCUCAGGUGAGACCAUGUCCAGUAUAUUACCUACCUCCUCUCUCUCAGGUGAGACCAUGUCCAGUAUAUUACCUAUCUCCUCUCUCAGGUGAGACCAUGGCCAGUAUAUCACCUACCUCCUCUCUCUCAGGUGAGACCAUGCCCAGUAUUGUUACCAACCAUCAAUUCAUUGAUGGUGAAGUGAUGGUUAAAUUCAUAAAUGAUGGGUAAGUUCUCACUAUAAUUCUCUCAUACUCCAUCAAAAUUAUAUGAUCAAAUCAACAUCAAUGUUUAUUUGGCAUAUGCACAGGAUACAGUGGGUUGUAUACAGGAAUAUAUCAUUGCAUUGUACCGUGCACUU
rnacentral:lncRNA from 13 species